UGGCUGGAUUUUUUAUUUUUUUUUUACUAAUGACUCAAUUGAAGACUAAAUUGUGCCUAUCUCUAUCUAUUCCAGUAGAUUGAAGUGCUCAAUAUCUACAAUAGUUAGAAGUUCAAUAUAUAUUUUCCAAUCACUUCAGUUAUUUCAAUCUCUUGUCUACAGAUUGAACAAAACAUUUGCAGGGGGAAAUCAUUAGUCAUGUGCAAGCAUUAGACUAACCCAGGACCUUCUCCAUUUUGCAGCCACAAUGACUGGGUUGAGACACUUUGUCUAUGAGUUUCAUGAAACAUUUUCUGAUUGGGUAUAUUAGGAGAAAAAUGAGAAUUUAUACCCAAGACAAACAAUUUGUGAAAUGGGCCAAAGUUUCAACAUUCAAAUGAUAACCCUAAAAGGUUGGACACAGGAAGCAUGAAACUCAUUCAACUUGAAAGAAUGAUAAUACAAUUAAUUUUUUUUUUUUUAAAUGUCCAAUUACAUGGACUUAUAAACUGUUUCUUUCAGAUUUAAUCCCUUUUUAGUAUCCUCUCUGGACAUGGACAAAACAAAAAAUUAGAAUGUUUAAAAAAUUUGUUGAUGUGAGAAUGGAAAUUGCAUGCUCUUGAAGGAACUCUUUGGACGAUGAUGAUCACUAAAGGGCUAACCUACUUAAAGUACAACACUAGAUCAUAAGUUCAUCAACUAGGAAAUCUUUUGUACAGAUGUGACUUUUAGCAUCCACCUUAUCCUUCUGACUAGUCUAACACUAAUGCUAAGGUUGAAAUGUACAUGUGUCUUCUGUCUAAAGAAAGUUAGAAGCAGGUGUCUUCAGAUGUAAUUAUAAAAAAUGAUAAAAUAGUCUGUGACCAUAACAAAUUUCAAGCUAUUUCUUAUGGUAAAUUUGUUUUUUUUAUAAAUCUAUUACUGAUCAAUUUUGGGAACAAUUUUCACCAAGGUAAAGAAUCCCAGCACAUCAAUCCAUGCACUGAACUUGGUAAAUUAUCAAUCCAAAGUUUGAUGGACAUUUUUAUAAAGACCAGUACACUUAGCAUAAACCAUUGUCAAAUGCCAAUGGAACUAAGCAUAAAUGUACCCCAAUCAAAGAUCCACAAAGUUCAACAAAUCAACCUGGGAAAAGCCCUGAACAGAAUAUAUUAAAUAAAUACAUGAUAAAUAUACUUUUAUGUAUAUCCUGACAAAUGCACAGCAGCCUGUGUGAGCCAUCACUGAACUAUUAACUCACAAGUCUUCAAAG